rnacentral:rRNA from 1 species
GACGAACGCUGGCGGCGUGCCUAAUACAUGCAAGUAGAACGCAGUUGCGAACGGGUGAGUAACGCGUAGGUAACUGCCUCAUAGCGGGGGAUAACUAUGGGAAAAGAUAGCUAAUACCGCAUACGGUGAGAUGGACCUGCUUUGUAUUAGCUAGUUGGUGAGGUAAAGGCGCAACAAGGCGACGAUACAUAGCCGACCUGAGAGGGCGAUUGGCCUCACUGUGACUGGGCAACGGCCCAGACUCCUACGGGAGGCAGCAGUAGGGAAUCUGCGGGCAUGGUGGGCAGUCUGACCGAGCAACGCCGCGUGAGUGGAGAAGGUUUUCGGGUCGUAAAGCUCUGUUGUUAGAGAAGCGGUAACUAAACAGAAAGGGACGGCUAACUACGUGCCAGCAGCCGCGGUAAUUC